rnacentral:rRNA from 1 species
GACGAACCGUCCGAACGUUAUUCGGAAUCACUGGGCUUAUAGGGCGCGUAGGCGGGAUCGUAAGUCAGGGGUGAAAUCCCACGGCUCAACCGUGGAAGUGCCUUUGAUACUGCGGACCUCGAGGUGGGCAGGGGCGUGCGGAACUUCCGGUGGAGCGGUGAAAUGCGUAGAUAUCGGAAGGAACACCGGUGGCGAAAGCGGCACGCUGGGCCCGUACUGACGCUGAGGCGCGAAAGCCAGGGUAGCAAACGGG